rnacentral:misc_RNA from 1 species
UCCGGCUUGUACCGGCAGUCUGCUGUGAAGUGCAACACAGCACGAGGGUUGCGCUCGUUGCGGGACUUAACCCAACAUCUCACGACACGAGCUGACGACAGCCAUGCAACAUCUGUGACCCUGCCUUGCGGGGACCCCGUUUCCGGGGGUUUCAGGGCCAUGUCAAGUCUGGGUAAGGUUCUGCGCGUUGCAUCGAAUUAAACCACACGCUCCGCUGCUUGUGCGGGGACCCGUCAAUUCCUUUGAGUUUUAACCUUGCGGCCGUACUCCCCAGGUGGGCAACUUACUGCGUUAGCUACGGCACGGAGGGGCUCGAUACCCCCCACACCUAGUUGCCAUCGUUUACUGCGUGGACUAC